rnacentral:lncRNA from 1 species
UGCUUAGCCUCAGUCGCAGAAAGGCGAGCAAAAGGAGGGGGCAAGUAUUCAAACAACAAACCUCACCUAUGGAUGAACGUGGGUAGACGAGGAAUCACACUUAGCCUCAGUCGCAAAAAGGCGAGCAAAAGGAGGGGGCAAGUAUUCGAACAACAAUCCUCACCUACGGAUGAACGUAGGUAGACGAGGAGUCAUGCUUAGCCUCAGUCGCAGAAAGGCGAGCAAAAGGAGGGGGCAAGUAUUCAAACAACAAUCCUCACCUACGGAUGAACGUGGGUAGACGAGGAAUCACACUUAGCCUCAGUCGCAAAAAGGCGAGCAAAAGGAGGGGGCAAGUAUUCAAGUAAUAAUCCUCACCCACGGAUGAACGUGGGCAGACGAGGAAGCACACUCAGCCCCUAUCGCAAAAAGGCAAGCAAAAGGAGGGGGCAAGUAUUCAAUUAAUAGUCCUCACCCACGG